AUGCAUGGAAUGUUGACAAAAGGAUUUAAUAAGAGACAGUUGGUGACAGUUGGUUAGAAGGAGAGAACAGAGUAAGACAGAACAACAGAGCUCAGAGCCAGCGUUUCUGUGUGGGUGACUGAAUAAGGGAAAUUGUUCAAAUUCUGUGUAAAUUCUUGGUUAAUUGAUGUUCAGAGACUGUAACAAGCCAGUAGAGCACUGGACAGUACUCUGGGGUUUGGAGUAAAAAGCCUGAGUGGGAAUCCUGAGAGAGAAGGGUGCCCAGAGAAAAUGCCUGUCUUAAGUUAUUCAACAUACAAAAGUACUGUAGUUAGAAAGAAGGUCAAAAUACUCUGCGUGGUGUCUAACAGUUUUGACCUCACAGAUGAGGCGGAUGAAAGUGAUGGACAAUCACUUGGUACCAGAAGAACAAACAGCUCCUGUGCCAGAGAACCCAAGACUUAGGACAAGUAUGCAUGACAGAAGACUAUCUAAAAGACUGGGUCCUGAGGAUUCCAGCUUGGAGUGCUAUAAAAAUGAAAAAAAAAGUAUUAAUUAUGCAUAUCUCCAUGCACCGCGAGGCUAUUCCUGACUCGACAAGAAUUGCCGCUAACAUGCUUCAGGCUGCAAGUGAGAUCAGAAGAGGGAAAGAAAGCUGUUGCAACACAGCCUAUCAAGAGAGAAGCAACAAGAGCAUACAGGAAAAAAAAUAUUCAGAAGAGUUUCCUCUUUGGGCAGGGGAUGAAUUUUCAUCCGUUUCAUUUCACCUGGGGACAUUUUAAAAAACUGGCUUAGGCAUCUUUAUGAGUUGCUCUCUUUCAUGUUCAUUCCUGUUGCUGAGGAUUUUGCAGCUGAUGCUCAGGAAUCUGACUUUGCUGUAUUUAAUUCUUCUUCGAAACUUUAUUUUAUCCAGCUCACUUUGAAUCUGCUUUUGAAGGGGUCUCAAAUGCUUACUGACAGUUUUAUGGAACAAAUAGAAAAGACCUUUGUAUUGCCUGAAAGAGCUUGCAGCCUGAUGAUGUUGGCAAUUUCUGUUUCUCUCAGAGCCAAUUCAGACACACUGCCUCUUUGAAGACAGGAGAGUUACUUGUGUGUCUGUGUACCUAGGACAAUGAGAUUACCCUGUUCCAAAGUUCUGUUCAUUGCUUCCUUUUCUACACAGAGCCCCUGAAUGUAUGAGCCUCCCCAUAUAACCCAGUGGAAGGGAAAGAUCUUGUUGGCGAGGCACUUCAUGUAGUUAUUUGAGUCUUCAUGCCCACACAGACUCUGUACUGUUUGGGUACUA